rnacentral:rRNA from 1 species
UACACUCCUGCGGGAGGCAGCAGUGGGGACUUUUGGACAAUGGGCGAAAGCCUGAUCCAGCAAUGCCGCGUGAGUGAAGACGGCCUUCGGGUUGUAAAGCUCUUUUGUCAGGGAAGAAACGGUGAAAGCUAAUAUCUUUUGCUAAUGACGGUACCUGAAGAAUAAGCACCGGCUAACUACGUGCCAGCAGCCGCGGUAAUACGUAGGGUGCAAGCGUUAAUCGGAAUUACUGGGCGUAAAGCGUGCGCAGGCGGUUUUGUAAGUCUGAUGUGAAAUCCCCGGGCUCAACCUGGGAAUUGCAUUGGAGACUGCAAGGCUAGAAUCUGGCAGAGGGGGGUAGAAUUCCACGUGUAGCAGUGAAAUGCGUAGAUAUGUGGAGGAACACCGAUGGCGAAGGCAGCCCCCUGUGUCAAGAUUGACGCUCAUGCACGAAAGCGUGGGGAGCAAACAGGAUUAGAAACCCCAGUAGUCCC